rnacentral:lncRNA from 1 species
UGCUUAAAACCAGAGAUGGGAAAAUAAAAAGAUGAUUAACUAAUAUGGCAGAUUUAGUUCUGAUGAUGUAACAAUGCUUGCUUCUAUUUUAUUCUGAUCAGGAUUUCUGAGAGUCAGCAAGGGUUGAGAGGGCUGUCCCAGGAGUAGGAUAUGUCAUUGUGGUUUUUUUGACCUGUGUAAUAUUCCCACACAGGGAAAUAUUAACAUGUUAGAUCUUUUGUACAACAUUUCUCUUUGUCAGCAUCUUGCUUUGAGACUUCUGUCCUUAUUCUCAAAAACUGACAACUGGCAUAUGACUGUGGUGGCUUGGGGAUUGGAUGGCUUCAUCUUCUGUUUGUCAUUCAGACUCGAAUGUUGGUGAAGCACCCAAGAAAUACAACUGAAGUGGGAGGAAAAUGGUAAGAUUUAUUCCUUUACAAAAACAAUGCAAGGGUUAGGGAAGUGGCUUGUGUUUAGAAGAUAAACAUUUUUAUGUAUCAUACAUAAUUUCAAAAAUUAGUAGAAAGCUUCUCUUUCUCCAGAGUAGAUACUCUUCAAUGUGGGUGAAGCGUGGGAAAUAAUGCUCUACAGCUUUUUAAGUCCUACUGUGUAAAGAAGGAGUUGAUUUGUAGAAGUUUCUGGCUUGAAAAUGAACUACUAUAAUAUAUGUUAUCAUUCUUCUCCAGUAGAAAUUAAAAAUAUGAAAACUGACUUUUUUUUUUUUUUUUUCAUUCUAGAUAUGGUCUUAUUAUUAGUCUUCCAUAAUCAUUAAUAUACCUAGAAUUUUGGAAUUUCAUCCUGCUCCUAUUUUUCAGUAUGAUUUCAGGACAUAACUAUAUUGCAAAAAAGACCUAAUGAUGCAUGAUAGUUGUUACUGGAUAACAACUCCUUUCUCCCCUACCAGGCAGAGUUUUUGAUGUGUUGUAUGCAACGAGCUGAAGAUUUCCAAAUUUGUCCAUAUCCAUAUCUACUUGAACCUUUACUAAGAACUCAUCAAAUGAUUGAAUCACCACUUUAAAACUACAAUACAGUCCACCAGUUUUUAGAACAUUUUUAUUUAAUGGACUGUCUCUCAUGAACAUCAUCAGAAAAGACAUAACAUCACUGAGUAUUUUAUAUCAUGAAUGUGUAGGGUAAGAAGAGAUAUGAUAAGGUAAAAAAAAAAAAAAAAAAAAAAAAAAAAGGAUACCUUUGCAAUUCUUUGCAAUUGUUAGAGGAUUUUAAAAAUUCUACCAGCUUACUAAUGUCUGAACUCUCUUUAUAGAUAAAAAUACAUUCACAACAGACAUUUUCUAGAAUUAUCAUAUCUGUAAUAUAUCUGUACUGCAACUGAAACACAAAUCUAAGAACAGAGCUUGUCAAUCACAGGACAAUAUGCUUUCUCCAAGAUAGGAAUCAUAAUUAAAAAUCAUUUCUAAUACUGAUAUACAGCAUCAAGUUAGAAUAAUUGGGCUUUGGGAUGUGUAUGUUUGAUGAAUAUCUAAUCAAUGGAUUGCCCACAGGACACUUGAUAUUUCAAAGAGAACACAAAAUAAUGCAGUUUCUGGAAGAAAUUUAACUUAAACACAAGGAAAAUAACUUUUAACAGAUGUCUUUCAAGAAUAAACAAGCCUUAUGUUCACA